GACAGAGGGUGCAAACGUUGCUCGGAAUUACUGGGCGUAAAGCGUGCGCAGGCGGUCUGUUAAGACCGAUGUGAAAUCCCCGGGCUUAACCUGGGAACUGCAUUGGUGACUGGCAGGCUUUGAGUGUGGCAGAGGGAGGUAGAAUUCCACGUGUAGCAGUGAAAUGCGUAGAGAUGUGGAGGAAUACCGAUGGCGAAGGCAGCCUCCUGGGCCAACACUGACGCUCAUGCACGAAAGCGUGGGGAGCAAACAGG
rnacentral:rRNA from 1 species